rnacentral:rRNA from 1 species
GUGAGUAACGCGUGAGAAUCUGCCUUGGGGUCGGGGACAACCACUGGAAACGGUGGCUAAUACCGGAUAAGCCUUUGGGUAAAAAAUUUAUUGCCCCAAGAGGAGCUCGCGUCUGAUUAGCUAGUUGGUGAGGUAAGAGCUCACCAAGGCAGCGAUCAGUAGCUGGUCUGAGAGGACGAUCAGCCACACUGGGACUGAGACACGGCCCAGACUCCUACGGGAGGCAGCAGUGGGGAAUUUUCCGCAAUGGGCGAAAGCCUGACGGAGCAAGACCGCGUGAGGGAGGAAGGCUCUUGGGUUGUAAACCUCUUUUCUCGGGGAAGAAGCUCUGACGGUACCUGAGGAAUCAGCCUCGGCUAACUCCGUGCCAGCAGCCGCGGUAAUACGGAGGAGGCAAGCGUUAUCCGGAAUUAUUGGGCGUAAAGCGUCCGCAGGUGGCGAUUCAAGUCUGCUGUCAAAGCACGGGGCUUAACUCCGUUAAGGCAGUGGAAACUGAAUAGCUAGAGUGCCGUAGGGGUAGAGGGAAUUCCCGGUGUAGCGGUGAAAUGCGUAGAGAUCGGGAAGAACAUCGGUGGCGAAAGCGCUCUACUGGACGGCAACUGACACUCAGGGACGAAAGCUAGGGGAGCGAAUGGGAUUAGAUACCCCAGUAGUCCUAGCUGUAAACGAUGGAUACUAGGUGUAGCUUGUAUCGACCCGAGCUGUGCCGAAGCUAACGCGUUAAGUAUCCCGCUUGGGGAGUACGCACUCAAGUGUGAAUCUCAAAGGAAUUGAGGGGGGUCCGCACAUGCGGUGGAGUAUGUGGUUUAAUUCGAUGCAACUCGAAGAUCCUUACCAGGGCUUUACAUGUCCGGAAUCUCGGUGAAAGCUGGGAGUGCCUUCGGGAGCCGGAUCACAGGUGGUGCAUGGCUGUCGUCAGCUGUUGUCGUGAGAUGUUGGGUUAAGUCCCGCAACGAGCGCAACCCUCGUCUUUAGUUGCCAGCAUUAAUUUGGGCACUCUAGAGAGACCGCCGGUGACAAACUGGAGGAAGGUGGGGAUGACGUCAAGUCAGCAU